AUGAAGCUCCUAUGUUGGAACAUUAGGGGCUUCGGCCUCUCUGGCCGGCGGCGCCAGCUCAUCGAAUAUUUGCAAUAAGAGGAGAUAGACAAAUUGGGUCUUCAGGAGAUGAUUCGCCAGGACUUUAGUAUGCAUGAGCUCCAAGGGCUCUCUCGCCACCAGUUUGCCUGGCAGUGGUUGCCUGCUACGGGUCAAUCUGGGGGCAUUUUGCUCGGAGUCAGGGAGGAUGCUUUAUCGGUUUAA
rnacentral:rRNA from 1 species